UACGAAGGUCCCAAGCGUUGUUCGGAAUCACUGGGCGUAAAGGGAGCGUAGGCGGCGUGGUGAGUCAGAUGUGAAAUCCCGGGGCUCAACCCCGGAACUGCAUCCGAUACUGCCGUGCUUGAGGGUUGGAGAGGUAGCUGGAAUUCUCGGUGUAGCAGUGAAAUGCGUGGAUAUCGAGAGGAACACUCGUGGCGAAAGCGAGGCCCUGGACCCUUACUGACGCUGAGACGCGAAAGCCAGGGGAGCGAACGGG
rnacentral:rRNA from 1 species